CCGGCACGGGUGAGUAACACGUAUCCAACCUGCCGUCUACUCUUGGACAGCCUUCUGAAAGGAAGAUUAAUACAAGAUGGCAUCAUGAGUCCGCAUGUUCACAUGAUUAAAGGUAUUCCGGUAGACGAUGGGGAUGCGUUCCAUUAGAUAGUAGGCGGGGUAACGGCCCACCUAGUCUUCGAUGGGUAGAGGUUCUGAGAGGAAGGUCCCCCACAUUGGAACUGAGACACGGUCCAA
rnacentral:rRNA from 1 species